ACAUGCAGUCGAGCGAACUGAUUAGAAGCUUGCUUCUAUGACGUUAGCGGCGGACGGGUGAGUAACACGUGGGCAACCUGCCUGUAAGACUGGGAUAACUUCGGGAAACCGAAGCUAAUACCGGAUAGGAUCUUCUCCUUCAUGGGAGAUGAUUGAAAGAUGGUUUCGGCUAUCACUUACAGAUGGGCCCGCGGUGCAUUAGCUAGUUGGUGAGGUAACGGCUCACCAAGGCAACGAUGCAUAGCCGACCUGAGAGGGUGAUCGGCCACACUGGGACUGAGACACGGCCCAGACUCCUACGGGAGGCAGCAGUAGGGAAUCUUCCGCAAUGGACGAAAGUCUGACGGAGCAACGCCGCGUGAGUGAUGAAGGCUUUCGGGUCGUAAAACUCUGUUGUUAGGGAAGAACAAGUAUGAGAGUAACUGCUCGUACCUUGACGGUACCUAACCAGAAAGCCACGGCUAACUACGUGCCAGCAGCCGCGGUAAUACGUAGGUGGCAAGCGUUAUCCGGAAUUAUUGGGCGUAAAGCGCGCGCAGGCGGUUUCUUAAGUCUGAUGUGAAAGCCCACGGCUCAACCGUGGAGGGUCAUUGGAAACUGGGGAACUUGAGUGCAGAAGAGAAAAGCGGAAUUCCACGUGUA
rnacentral:rRNA from 2 species